GUCCCUGCAGCGCAACGGAUAGCUCGAUGAAUUUCUAAUCCAAAGGCCGUGGAUUCGAAUUCCACCUGGAAUG